rnacentral:rRNA from 1 species
CACUCCUGCGGGAGGCAGCAGUGGGGAAUUUUGGACAAUGGGCGAAAGCCUGAUCCAGCAAUGCCGCGUGAGUGAAGAAGGCCUUCGGGUUGUAAAGCUCUUUUGUCAGGGAAGAAACGGUGAGAGCUAAUAUCUCUUGCUAAUGACGGUACCUGAAGAAUAAGCACCGGCUAACUACGUGCCAGCAGCAGCGGUAAUACGUAGGGUGCAAGCGUUAAUCGGAAUUACUGGGCGUAAAGCGUGCGCAGGCGGUUUUGUAAGUCUGAUGUGAAAUCCCCGGGCUCAACCUGGGAAUUGCAUUGGAGACUGCAAGGCUAGAAUCUGGCAGAGGGGGGUAGAAUUCCACGUGUAGCAGUGAAAUGCGUAGAUAUGUGGAGGAACACCGAUGGCGAAGGCAGCCCCCUGGGUCAAGAUUGACGCUCAUGCACGAAAGCGUGGGGAGCAAACAGGAUUAGAUACCCUUGUAGUCCCAUGAU